rnacentral:rRNA from 1 species
UACGUAGGAGGCAAGCGUUGUCCGGAUUGACUGGGCGUAAAGCGCACGCAGGCGGUUGCGCGCGUGGGGGGUGAAAUCUGGCCGCUUAACGGCCAGGCGCCAUCCCAUACGGCGCGACUGGAGGGCUGCAGAGGUCGAUGGAAUUGCCGGUGUAGUGGUGAAAUGCGUAGAGAUCGGCAGGAACACCCAGGGGGAAACCAGUCGACUGGGCAGCACCUGACGCUGAGGUGCGAGAGCGUGGGGAGCGAACAGG